ensembl:lncRNA
AUGAAACACUGCGACUGCUGGUGGAGAAAAGCACCGGCCCCCCCAAGAAUGGGGGCAGUUCAUGGGAGGAAGAGAUCUUUAUCAGAAGUAGGAAGUACUUCCUGGAUGGUAUUUAUGAGUAGGAUGUUACUGACUGUACCAUCAUUUAUGCUGCAGGAUUUCUCUUUUUUGGUGGUGAAAGCUUUAUUGAUUAUUUGUGUGCUUCUCCUACUUGUCACCUGCGGCAGGCAUUUGCAGGAUGGCUAGGUAAAGACUUAAGUAUGCAGUCUGUAGCCACAGUAAUUAGAUCAUUGCUGCCUCCAUAAAGAGGAGAUCCAGAGCCACUUAGUCCAGUCAGGAGUUGACGAGGAAGUCCUGACCCUGGAGAGGAUAUUCUGGCAGGGGGCGUCCACCAGCGCUGGCAGGAAGCUGCAGCGCUGGGGAGCGUAUGUCUGCCCCAGCGCCCUGCUGGGGCACAGCACUCCCUUCCAUGUAGAGACGAACCUCAACCACGAUGUGAAGACAGACAGAAACACAAGUGGAGGCAGAAUAUGGUUUGUUACCCUCUUGGCAUUUCUCAUAUAUAGUUGUUCAACAAUCUGUGUUUAAGCCUGUUGGGGGUAUUUGUUAAAAACGAUCGCUUCUGAGUCUCACUCCACACCUGCACAAUCAGGGUCUGAAUAUGAGAUGUGGGGGGUCUGCCUUUUAGGGUGAGCGCUCCAGGCUUGUCCUAAACACAGCCAUGCGUGACUAUCACUGUUCUGGCACUCUUUCCAACAGCCCCUGCCUUUUUAGGGACCAGAACCUGCAAUGUUCAUGUUUAUCUUUAAGAUGGACAGGUGUGCGACUGAUGAAACAGUUUGGUCAUAGUCAUAGAAUUCUAGAGCCUGCAUAAAGGCACCUUCCAGGUCAUGCCAGCCAACAAUCCUAGAGGAGGAAACAGGCCAAAUGAUAGUGCCUGGGUGGUUUUACAACUGAUUCAUAACGCAUGAGGUACUUUGCUGUAACUCGUAGAUCAGAAUAACCUGGUAAAAUCUUUGUGUAUGUAAGAAAUUAUUUUCAUGUUAGGCGUUAUUUUUAGUCCAGUUUGACAAUUCUCUGCCUUUUAAUUGGGGGUGUUUAGAGUGUUUGCACUUACUGUGAUUACUGAUACGGUUUGAUUUUCCUCUCAUAUUGCUAUUUCCUGUUUGUCUUCCUUUCCUUCUCUUUUUCAUCUGAGUAUUUUCUGUGAUUCCAUUUAAUGGCCUUUAUUGCCUUACUUGCUGUAUGUUUCAGGUGGGGUUUUUUGGUGUUUAGUAGCUGCUGCAAAGUGUAUGAGUAGUGUGCUCCUCUGACUCAUUACCGUCAGUCUUCAUGUAUAGGUAUACAGUAUACACUCUUUUUCUGCCUUUGUGCUGUUGUAAUCUUAUGUUUCGGGCUUCCCAGGUGGCUCAGUGCUAAAGACUCUGCCUGCCAGUGCUGCAGAUGCAGGAGACCUGGGUUCAGCCCCUGGGUCAGGACGAUCCCCUGAAGGAGGAAAUGGCAACCCGCUCCAGUAUUGCCUGGAAAAUUCUAUGGACAGAGGAACCUGGUGGGCUACAGUCCGUGGGGUCACAAAAGAGUCAGACAUAACUUAACAACUGAGUACACACAGUCGUGUAUUUUACUUCUGCACAUAUUGUAAACUUCNNNNNNNNNNNNNNNNNNNNNNNNNNNNNNNNNNNNNNNNNNNNNNNNNNNNNNNNNNNNNNNNNNNNNNNNNNNNNNNNNNNNNNNNNNNNNNNNNNNAUUUAUUAGCACUAUGUAUCAGACAUUCUCCUGAGAACUUUCCACCCAUUAACUCACUUAAUCUUCCCAAAAACCAUAUGAGGAAGUCCUGCCCUGGUUAGUAAGUGGUAGAGUUCAAGUCUUGGACUUGAACCCUUGUAAUCUAUUGCUGGGUUUCCCCGGUGGCACAGUGGUAAAGACUCCACCUGCCAAUGCAGGAGACGCCAGAGACAAAAGUUCAAACCCUGGGUCAGGAAGAUCCUCUGGAGUAGGAAAUUGCAACUCGCUCCAGUAUUCUUGCCUGGAAAAUUCCAUGGACAGAGGAGUCUCUUGGGCUACAGUCCAUGGGGUCACAAAGAGUAGGACAUGACUGAGUGGCUGAGCACAUACAUACACACAAUCUGUUGCCGGCUCACAGCCCUUAAGAUCACUUGCU